GGCCAGCCUCACAGUAGACUUCUCAGCCAAACAACGUGGCACACCCCUGUCAGCAACAGGAGGCCAGGGUGGAGAGCUGAAAGUCGGAGGCCAGUCUGACCUACACACUCACAGUGUUGUGGUUUUGGAUGCACAUCCCUCAGCCUAGCUUUCACGUGGGUGCAGAUAAUCCAAACUUGGGUCCUCACCUUUGCAUGGCAAGCAUUUUCCUGACAGAUCCAUCUCCCAGCUCCAAAGGGAUAUUUUAAUUUUGUUCUGGACAUUGACGGGUCCAAUCUUGUGGAGAUCUUGUGACAAGGGAAUUCAGCUGCUGUGAGUUCAAGAGGGCAAGACCCAUGUCAUACCCAGAGUUCCACCACUCUUUCCGCCCCCACAUUUCCUCUGGUUGUUGCUUUCUCUUCACCCCGUGUCCCAUAGUGUCUCCUGGGCCUUGGAGGAGAUGAUACAGAUGUCUCCUUUAUGGCUGGACAUUCAACAGCCAUUUCUUCUCUGGACUCUGGUCACUAUGAGUCUCUGCUGUUAUUGCUGACUGCUGCAAGCACAGACUCUUUUCUGACCGAAGCUGACACCAGCACUGUCUGAAGGACGUGAGCUCCGGGCAAUCCCUUUUCACCUGACUCUUGAGAGCUUUCGUUUUGCAGUCCAGAGGAAGCAAUCAUCGUGUAGCCAUGGAAAUCAACGAGUGCAGAGGAAAUGUUGCAGGGAAUAAUGAAGCCAACGAGCUCAACGCCACAAAAGUUGGUCACAUCCUAAAACAAUUGAAGUACAAGAAUCCAGAGGCUCUUGGAGGAAGUGUGGUAUUUUGACAGUAACCUCUACGGCAAGUGAGCACAUUUCAAGAUGCUAAAGUGUUUGCAAAAUGUGAACUAAGCCUGUUGCUCAUUCCUCAUCCUUUCACCUCAACAACCCUGAUGCCCACUUUCCAUGGUCUUCCCAUCCUAUGAAUAAACCCUGGGUUUAAAUGACUUUCCAAAAACAAACGUGACAUACACUCUGAUGGGUGGCCCCACACCUAGAAGGAUAUAUGAACAGCACAUGUUUGAGGUGAUGGAUUAGUAAAUGAAUAUAUACACACAAAGGACAUGAAGUUUGGGGUAUAGGGAUGAAGGUAUUUGGGAGGAGUUAAAAAACUGGGGUGAAUAUGAUCAACAUACAUUGUAUGAACUCUCAAAUAAUUAAUUAAACAUACGUAUUAUUUAAACUAUUAUUAGUGGCAGCAUUUAAAGAACAUGUUCUUUCCACCAAUCAGAAGUCAUCUUAGCUAAGUGAGCCAUGUCCACAUGUCCUGGCCUGAAUUUUACAGAACAAAUAUCUUGCAACUAACUUUUCACACCUAUAACUAUUCUGUCUUCAUUAUCAUUGUGGCAGGAAGCAUGGCAGUGUGCAGGCAGACAUGGUUCUGGAGAAGUUGCUGAGAGUUCUAAAUCUUGGUCUGCAGGCAGCAAAAGGAGACUGUCUUCCACACUGGGCAUGGCUUGAGCAUAUAAAACCUCAGGGCCUCCACCCCCAUAGUGACACAGUUCCUCCAACAAGGCCACACCUCCAGAUAGUGCCACUCCCUAUGGCUAAGCACUCAAACACAUGAAUCUAGGGGCCAUAUGUACUCAAGCCAACAAAACAGUGAGCGAUGGGGGUGGAGCUGAGUCAAUGGAUGUGGGGCUCUGAAGGUGAAAGGUUGUUAGUGUCUAAAAUACCUAUGUGUCCCCUGAGCAAUUCCUCCCCAUACAAAUCUACCCCUUACCCAUAGCCUGUCAGUGUGAGUUCAAACUUUUUUCAAAACUGAGCACGUCGGCCUUCAUUCAAGACUUCCCACUGCUGGCCUGAAGGUAAAGCCGUGUUCCUGGACUCAGGACAUUGGUAAACUCCCUAUCGUUUCCUAAUCCACAAAGCCAAGAUUCCAGCAGGCUUCCUGGCAUGGCAAAGUGCCAGGCCUGCCAGAAUAUCCUCAUUACCUGUGGAGAAUGGAGCAUUAGUGCUGUGCCUCCCACUGUGUGGCUCUGCUCUUGGAAGUGCGGUAGGUAACAAGGCCCACCCUUCCUGAUGGCCUCUCUGCCCUGGAUGGGGGAAUGGAGCAAUAAUCCAGAUCUCCUUAGUCAGGCUUUUUAACCAAGGAAGAAGAACCCAGAGGAACAAAGUGGCUUCAAGUCAAGCAUCUCAGCUUAAGCAUUGAGAGGGAUGCCAGGCCCAGUUUCUCCCAGGCCCAGUUUCUCCCAGGCCCAGUUUCUCCCAGGCCCAGUUUCUCCCAGGCCCAGUUUCUCCCAGGCCCAGUUUCUCCCAGGCCCAGUUUCUCCCAGGCCCAGUUUCUCCCAGGCCCAGUUUCUCCAGCCAACAGCAUUGUGUAAUGGACAUCCCCAAAGCUCUGGAGGACCGAAAGAGCAUUUGUACAAGUCAUGCUUUCUCUCUCUCUCUCUCUAUCUCUCCACAGAAAAUUCAGGUCUACUUUUAUUAUUUUAACUGAUGUCUCUGUACCCAGGUUUUUGCAACCUGUCUUUGUCAAAAUAUCUGGCCAGGAUCUCAGAAUUUUAAAACUUUUUUCUUUGUUGGAUAACAUGGAUGACUGGGUUAAUUCAUAGUCUCUUUGUCCAGACUCUUUUUAAGAAUCUCCAAGGCAUUCUGAACAAAUGGAAUUUUGCUUGCUUGAUUAGGAGGAAUAAAACCAGAAAGUCA